UGCUGAACCAACAGCUUCCUACAUCUGACUACUGGUUCUUUUCUUUAUAGCAAACAAAAAUGAGCAUAACCCCUAUCAGUGGCAGACUUUUAGCUAUUUAGGAGUUCUUUCCUUUACUAUGAAUGCUCUUAAUUUUCAUCAAGCUAAAGAUUCUCAAUUCCUGUAAUGGUUCCUCACAAGGCACACUUCUGUUCUUUCACCACUGGAUUUUUCUCUUCUAAAGAAAUAUACUUUACCUGAAAUACAGCAAUUAAGAUUAAAGUAUCUUAAUAAGUGAACCAAGUACUGGAACCAAGUACAACAUUCCAGAAGUUGUCAGACCAGAAGAGCUAGCAACUGCCAUUUUCUGAACAAAGCACUUCUGUUAAAUCAUGUAAGGUAACAUGAGAUGUUUUUGGAAACUACAAGACAGGAUAGGCUUACCGCAAAGUUUUGAAAGAGAGUCAUUAUUCACUUACAUACAUCUUCGAGUUCAACUAUAUGCCAUUGGUUGAACCAGCUGUUGGAGAUAUGAUGAUAUGAUGACCCACAAGGUGCCUUUCUUAUCUUGACUGACUGUGAAGAUCCUGGGGAGUUCAAAGGCCUUGAGAAAGUCAUGGUACAAUGAGGAAGAGCAAUCAGGAUAAGAUGACAAGAGUAUGACAAGAGUAGUGUGCAAAAAGACCAAAGAUUCAGUCAGAGAAAGCUAGGGAUCUGAUUGUGUGAGGUCUUGUGACCAUGAUAAAAUAUUUUGAGGUCAUUCUAAGUGAGGUAUGAAACUAUUAGAGGUUAAAAACAUGAGUGACACAAUAUGGUUCUUUGUUUAAGCUCAGUCUGGCUAUUGAGUGGGGAAAUGUCUAUAGACAGGAAGAAAUGGGAAUAGGAGUCCAGUUAGGAGACCUUUGGAAUAUUCCAGGCAAAAGAUGGUCAUGCUUUGCUAGGUAUUGGUGGCACUUGCUUGUAAUCCCAGUGACUCUGGAGGCUGAGGCAGGAGGAUUACAAGUUUGAGACCAGACUCAGAAAUUUAGCAAAACCCUGUCUCAAAACAAAAAACAAAAAGGGAUGGGGAUGUAGCUUGGAGUAGAGUGCUGUUGGCUUCAAUCCCCAGCACCACCACUGAAGUGGCACCCCCUUUCUCCACAGAAAAGUCCUCUUCACCAUGGCUGAUUCUAGGACUGUCAGCAAAAGAGUCUCUGCGAAAGAGUCCAAUGUAGAUAAACUUCCUAUUUUAUCUAUAUAAGGAUACCAGCACUCCAGGUGCUGGACACCCUCUUACUAGUUUUUCACAAACGUAUCCAGUAUAGUACUUUGUAGAAAUGUGCAAACAAGGCCUCUGACCUUGAGCUGGGGCUUCACAGAGAUGUCUACAUUUUUAAGAUAAGUUACAAAUGGGCUCCAUGGUAACAGCUGGCAGGGGAGGAAAGAAAGGGGAGAAGAAUCUCUCCCCUUCUCAGGUGUUGUCCUUGAAGAGUUAACUUGCCCAGAACAGUGAAAGAAAAAGCUGCUUUUAUGUGAACUUCUGCAGACUAUGAACUUCUGAGCCCCUCCCCUUACAUGCUGGGUAUAAAACUCUGAAUCUAUCUGAACUCUGGGUUCAGGGGAUUG
rnacentral:lncRNA from 1 species